rnacentral:rRNA from 1 species
CCUACGGGAGGCUGCAGUAGGGUAUAUUGCUCCAUGGGGGAAACCCUGAAGCAGCAACGCCGCGUGGAGGAUGAAGGUUUUCGGAUUGUAAACUCCUUUUGUUAGAGAAGAUAAUGACGGUAUCUAACGAAUAAGCACCGUCUAACUCCGUGCCAGCAGCCGCUGUAAUACGGAGGGUGCAAGCGUUACUCGGAAUCACUGGGCGUAAAGAGCGCGUAGGCGGGAUAGCAAGUCAGAUGUGAAAUCCUAUGGCUUAACCAUAGAAUUGCCUUUGAAACUGUUCAUCUAGAGUAUGGGAGAGGUAGGUGGAAUUCGUGGUGAAGGGGUGAAAUCCGUAGAGAUCAAGAGGAACACUCAUUGCGAAGGCAACUUACUAGAACAUAACUGACGCUGAUGCGCGAAAGCGUGGGGAGCAAACAGGAUUAGAUACCCCAGUAGUC